rnacentral:rRNA from 1 species
ACAAGCAGUGGGAGCACAGGUUUACCUGUGUGACUGCGUACCUUUUGUAUAAUGGGUCAGCGACUUAUAUUCUGUAGCAAGGUUAACCGUAUAGGGGAGCCGGAGGGAAACCGAGUCUUAACCGGGCGUUAAGUUGCAGGGUAUAGACCCGAAACCCGGUGAUCUAGCCAUGGGCAGGUUGAAGGUUGGGUAACACUAACUGGAGGACCGAACCGACUAAUGUUGAAAAAUUAGCGGAUGACCUGUGGCUGGGGGUGAAAGGCCAAUCAAACCGGGAGAUAGCUGGUUCUCCCCGAAAGCUAUUUAGGUAGCGCCUCGUGAAUUCAUCUCCGGGGGUAGAGCACUGUUUCGGCUAGGGGGCCAUCCCGGCUUACCAACCCGAUGCAAACUGCGAAUACCGGAGAAUGUUAUCACGGGAGACACACGGCGGGUGCUAACGUCCGUCGUGAAGAGGGAAACAACCCAGACCGCCAGCUAAGGUCCCAAAGUCAUGGUUAAGUGGGAAACGAUGUGGGAAGGCCCAGACAGCCAGGAUGUUGGCUUAGAAGCAGCCAUCAUUUAAAGAAAGCGUAAUAGCUCACUGGUCGAGUCGGCCUGCGCGGAAGAUGUAACGGGGCUAAACCAUGCACCGAAG